rnacentral:lncRNA from 1 species
UAGCAUCUAUUGUCAAGAUGUUUCUUUUGGAGAGUUUUUUCUUUUUUUUUUUAAAUGUGUGGCAGACUGACUCCAGCUGCCGUGGUUAAGGGCAAGUCCAUGCCCCUCAGGUGGGUCUCAAUUAUUUAGAAGGAUGCUGGCCUGUUCUGGGUGAUGGUGAGUUAUAGAGAUGGAUUGGUGACUCACAGACAAGCAUUUGUUGCAGCUGGAUCUUAUUUGCUAGGAUAAUACUGGAUAUAUUACCAGGUAACGAAUGAGGGAGAGGUGUACUGGAGAGCUGAAGAUAGCAAAAGACAGAGGAGAGAUUUUUAUAGGAACCUACACAAGGGAUCCCAGGGCUGUACCUACCCCAAAAACCUCAUCCACCCGUUGAAGGCAGCAAGAAGGAUUGCCACACCGACACCGAUGCUCUCUGUGGGGCAGGCAGCCGUGCUCUGGGGACAGCCGCAGCAUCGUACAGUGACCUGAGAGCCUGCUGGAAGCCAGCGGGAGAGGGAGCAGUGCGUGUGAUCUGGAGGGGUGUUGCAAGAGUGACCGGCGUGAUGGAGAGCAUCCCUGUCACGCUGAGCUCUCAGGAUGUUUGGGUAAUCCUAAAAGACUGCUUGGAGAAGCGGAAAGACGCAGGGAGAUGAAGAAACCAGGAGGCUGGCACAGCUGGCUGUGGGAAUGAUCAGAGGCACUAGUGCCAUAUUGCACCUCUGCACGUGGCCGUGUUGGUCCGUUACAGCUCUUUGCUGGAAGGCAGCUGGCAUCCAGGUAGCUCCACUGGAGGUGUCUGCAGUGAGUGAAGCAGCAAACGGGCCACAAAACAGGGACUAUGGUGAUUUCCCUGAUAUUGCUGCACUGGCAUGUGAAGCAAAGCUGUCUGUUAUCACUCAUGCUUCAAGUGCUGAGAGAAACUUUAGAGACUGCGAUCAUCUUCUAUUCAGGAGCAGAGGUAGUUCUUGCUGUGGGAAAUCUCCCUGGGAAAUCAGUCUCUGA